rnacentral:lncRNA from 10 species
AAAAAAAAAAAAUUUAUUAUAUAAUUAUUUCUGCCAACUUAUAAUUAUGCCUUUUAUUUAUUUAUUUAUUUUUGGAGAUAGGGAUCAUAGUUCACUGCAACUUUGAACUCCCAGGCUCAAGUGAUCCUCCUGCCUUCACCUCCUGAGUAGCUGGGACUACAGGCAUAUGCCUAUUUUUUUUUUAUUUUAGUAGAGAUUGAAUCUUGCUGUGUUGCCCAGGCUGGUCUCAAACUUUUGGGCCCAAGUGAUCCUCCCACGUUGGCCUCCCAAAGUGCUGGGAUUACAGGCAUGACCCCCACCCCGUGCCUGGCCUAUGCUUUUUGGAAGAUUAGCAUCUUCCAUUUUUCACUGUGACUCAUUAACCAAUGUCAGAAACUACUUUUUGUGAAAAACACUAUCGUGGGCCCAUUUUCCUGCCUUUGUAGUAUAUAUUUACAAACGAGUUGGAAAGAUAAGCCUGCCAUAAGUAAAAUUGAGAGGUGAAGCUGGCUGGGCCUCUGGGUCGGGUGGGGACUUGGAGAACUUUUCUGUCUAGCUAAAGGAUUGUAAACACCAGUGGGCACUCUGUGUCUAGCUAAAGGUUUGUAAACGCACCAAUCAGCACUCUGUAAAAACGCACCAAUAAGUGCUUUAUGUCUAGCUAAAGGUUUGUAAAUGCACCAAUCAGCACUCUGUAAAAACAGACCGAUCAGCGCUCUGUAAAAUGGACCAAUCAGCAGGAUGUGGGUGGGGCCAAAUAAGGGAAUAAAAGCUGGCUAUCCUAGCCAGCGGCUGCAACCCACUCGGGUUCCCUUCCACCUUGUGGAAGCUUUGCAUUUUCGCUCUUGUCAGUAAGUCUUGCUGCUGCUCACUCUUUGGGUCUUUGGGUCAGCACUACUUUUAAGAGCUGUAACACUCACCGUGAGGGUCUGCAGCUUCACUCCUGAAGUCAGCGAGAGGAUGAACCCACUGGGAGGAAGAAACUCGGGACACAUCUGAACAUCUGAAGGAACAAACUCCGGAUGCACCAUCUUUAAGAACUGUAACACUCACCGCGAGGGUCUGCAGCUUCAUUCUUGAAGUCAGCGAGACAACCCACUGGAAGGAACCAAUUUGGGACACAAAAUUUCCUUGAGAAAGAGGAGUCAAAUCCAAAAAGGACAUUAGUUGAGACUCUGAAGACCAUCCCUAUUUUGGGAAAGCUCAAGAUGGGUGGCAGCAGGACCCUGGUUCCCAUUAAGGAGGCCUGAGUUUCCAGCUGCUCUGCUCCCAUUGCAGCAAGGCAAUGGACAUUUGAAUAAGGGAAUCAAGAACCCUGCACAGCACUCCUGUUCUGGGGCCCAGGACAUUGACUACAAAGAACCAUGUUUUCCAAUGUGUGGUGCCUGAAUCAGCAUUGAGAUCAGCAUUAACCGGGAACAUUUUCAGAAAGCAAAUUUUCAAGCUGCCUUCUUUCCUCCUCACCCAUCGAGACCUGUGAAGUCAGCGAUAUGUGUUUUGCGAACACAUAAAUCUCCUUCUAGGAGAUUCGAGUUCCAUGAUCAUGAUGGUCCUCAUUUCCUUUUCCUCACGGAUUCCCCUUCUGCAUCAGCCCAGGCUAAGUUCAUCUGAGG